CACCGUAAUAGGCUCCGUGAUGCAGUAAAAUCACAAGCUAUCCAACGAUCUCCUCUAUCAUUCCUUCUCUGCAGGGGCUGUCCAUCCUCAAGGCCACCUCAUUGUCAUUGGUAGUCACUGCAGCUCCAGCCAUCAUGUCUCCAUGAAAGAUAGAAAGAUGUGUGCCAGCUGAAUUCUACCUCCCAGAAGCCUUACAUAAAACUUCCCCUCACAUCUCAUUGGCCACAACUGGCUCAUGCUAAGUAAGUGGCUUUGAAGAAGCAAGCUGCAAUAAAUCCUAUAGCUUCAAGAAAAUCAAUUCUCCUGACAAGCAGGAGCAGCUGCAGCAGCUGCACUUCCCUCUGGAGGAAACCAGCCUGGGAGAAGAAAGGCCCUAUAGAAUUAUCACG
rnacentral:lncRNA from 1 species